GACGUUGCUUCCUGCGCGUACGUCAACCAAGGGGUGCACCUCUCCAGUCGGCCUGGCAAGUGGAGACAUGGCUCGUGCGGAUCCUCCUUGGCGUACAUGUGCAAGCGGUCGCCCGACGCCUGCCCGGAGGGACGGCUGUGUUCCUACAAAGACUACGGACUCGGCGUCAGUCGAGUGGAGACUUCCUUCUGCGACACUGGCGAG